rnacentral:rRNA from 1 species
GACGGGGGCUGCAAGCGUUAUCCGGAAUCACUGGGCGUAAAGCGUCUGUAGGUGGUGAUGCAAGUCACUGGUGCAAAACUCUGGCUCAACCGGAGGAAAGCCAGUGAAACUGCAUGACUAGAGUGUGGGAGAGGUAGAAGGAAUUCCCUGAGUAGCGGUGAAAUGCGUAGAUACAGGGUAGAACACCGGAGGCAAAAGCGUUCUACUGGAACACAACUGACACUGAGAGACGAAAGCUAGGGGAGCGAAUGGG